rnacentral:rRNA from 1 species
UACAGAGGGGGCAAGCGUUGUUCGGAAUUACUGGGCGUAAAGGGCGCGUAGGCGGCCUUCUAAGUCGAACGUGAAAUCCCCGGGCUCAACCCGGGAACUGCGUCCGAUACUGGAAGGCUUGAAUUCGGGAGAGGGAUGCGGAAUUCCAGGUGUAGCGGUGAAAUGCGUAGAUAUCUGGAGGAACACCGGUGGCGAAGGCGGUUCUCUGGGCCUUACCUGACGCUGAGGAGCGAAAGCGUGGGGAGCGAACAGG